CAGGGGUAAACCUAAGAAACCCAAAAGAUCGAACGGGGAGAUUCAUCGUCAGCGGCGUUGGCUUCGCGUCGGUGGGCGAUGUCCCGCGAGCUCGCUCGCGGGCACGCUACCGUGCGCGCACGUCCGACGUCGUCGUCGUGCACUUCUCCCCUAGUAGGACGUCGCGACUCGCUGGGUGUCGGUCUACGGCCCGAGUGCGGUGUCNNNNGCGUCGCCGG
rnacentral:rRNA from 1 species